AUACGAAGGGCCCGAGCGUUAUUCGGAAUCACUGGGCUUAAAGCGUGCGUAGGCGGAUGUGAAGGCGUCAUGUGAAAUCCCUCGGCUCAACCGAGGAACUGCAUGGCGAACCAUACAUCUUGAGACAGACAGAGGUCGUCGGAACGAUUGGUGGAGUGGUGAAAUGCGUUGAUAUCAAUCGGAACGCCGAAGGAGAAGUCAGGCGACUGGGUCUGUUCUGACGCUGAGGUACGAAAGCGUGGGUAGCGAACGGGAUUAGAAACCCCAGUAGUCC
rnacentral:rRNA from 1 species